ACGGCCAGAUAACAUUGAAAUACCGAUUCCCGUAUAAUCACCGAAGUUAAGUGACAUCGAGCCUGGUCAGUAACUCGACGGGUAACCUCUUGGGAAUACCAAGUACUGCAA